rnacentral:rRNA from 1 species
GCCGGACCCGACUGCUAUCAGAGUGGGACUAAGCCAUGCGAGUCAACAUAGCAAUAUGUGGCAUACGGCUCAGUAACACGCAGUCAACAUGCCCAGGGGACGUGGAUAACCUCGGGAAACUGAGGAUAAACCGCGAUAAGUCACUACUUCUGGAAUGGGUAAUGACUCAAAUCUACAUGGCCCCUGGAUUGGACUGCGGCCGAUCAGGCUGUUGGUGAGGUAAUGGCCCACCAAACCUGUAACCGGUACGGGCUCUGAGAGGAGGAGCCCGGAGAUGGGCACUGAGACAAGGGCCCAGGCCCUAUGGGGCGCAGCAGGCGCGAAACCUCUGCAAUAGGCGAAAGCCUGACAGGGUUACUCUGAGUGAUUUCCGUUAAGGAGAUCUUUUGGCACCUCUAAAAAUGGUGCAGAAUAAGGGGUGGGCAAGUCUGGUGUCAGCCGCCGCGGUAAUACCAGCACCCCGAGUGGUCGGGACGUUUAUUGGGCCUAAAGCAUCCGUAGCCGGUUCUACAAGUCUUCCGUUAAAUCCACCUGCUUAACAGAUGGGCUGCGGAAGAUACUAUGGAGCUAGGAGGCGGGAGAGGCAAGCGGUACUCGAUGGGUAGGGGUAAAAUCCGUUGAUCCAUUGAAGACCACCAGUGGCGAAGGCGGCUUGCCAGAACGCGCUCGACGGUGAGGGAUGAAAGCUGGGGGAGCAAACCGGAUUAGAUACCCGGGUAGUCCCAGCUGUAAACGAUGCAGACUCGGUGAUGAGUUGGCUUUAUGCCAACUCAGUGCCGCAGGGAAGCCGUUAAGUUUGCCGCCUGGGGAGUACGGUCGCAAGACUGAAACUUAAAGGAAUUGGCGGGGGAGCACCACAGGGGUGUAACCUGC